GACGAUGUGGAGGCUCAAAGAUGCAGUGUGUGUAGGCUCCUAGUAGGGCGUGGCCCAUAGGCACAUGCAGACUUGCAGGACGUGCGGCCCAAGCACAGGCGCAGGGGCACAGUCCAGGAGCGUGACCCUGUGCAGGGAAAUUGGCGCGGUCUAUGAUGGACCGCAUGGGAUGUCAUGGUCCACAUAGCCGCCAUAGACCGGCCCGAUCUAAAUGCCAAAAAUCAUGGUCUACGGCAUUCCUUUGCACGAUCCAACUGUCAAGAAGCCACACGAUUGUGAUCGGAUGGUGAUCAAGGGUGUUCGGGCGUGAUCUUGCAUGAUCAAACUUCCACGGAGGUCUGCAGGGAAGAUCCAAUGGUCGAAAAUAUUGUUGAAUCCUGUUGAAAGUUCGAUUCUGAUCUGAAAUAGAUUUUGGGCCUAUAAAAGUAGGUGCACGGACC
rnacentral:lncRNA from 1 species